rnacentral:rRNA from 1 species
UACGUAGGGUGCAAGCGUUAAUCGGAAUUACUGGGCGUAAAGCGUGCGCAGGCGGUGAUGUAAGACAGAUGUGAAAUCCCCGGGCUCAACCUGGGAACUGCAUUUGUGACUGCACGGCUAGAGUGCGGCAGAGGGGGAUGGAAUUCCGCGUGUAGCAGUGAAAUGCGUAGAUAUGCGGAGGAACACCGAUGGCGAAGGCAAUCCCCUGGGCCUGCACUGACGCUCAUGCACGAAAGCGUGGGGAGCAAACAGG